UACGUAGGGGGCAAGCGUUGUCCGGAAUCAUUGGGCGUAAAGAAGCGCGUAGGCGGUCCAGUAAGUCCGCUCUGAAAGUCCAGGGCUCAACCCUGGAAAGCCGGUGGAAACUGUCAAGCUUGAGUCCGGAAGAGGCGAGUGGAAUUCCUGGACGUAGCGGUGAAAUGCGCAGAUAUCAGGAGGAACACCAAUGGCGAAGGCAGCUCGCUGGGACGGUACUGACGCUGGAGACGCGAAAGCGUGGGGAGCAAACAGG
rnacentral:rRNA from 1 species